GCCAUGCGCGUCUAAUGCCAUCAUUACCGAGCGAGUAUAUUUAGUUUGAGAUUGGCAUAGGUCGCGAGAAGCUUUGCUAGUUGUUAUCCGUAUUCUACGCAUGUGGCCUCUAUUAUACAUUUUCAAAUUCAAAACGACGAUUAACGUAUUAGAUUGAUUUUGAUUUAUUUCGAAAUUGUGUAAAAACUUAGUUGAAGAAGGAUUUCGAGUGAAAAUUUCGAUGGCGCCAAGUAGUUGAAAGACGAUGACGAUUCAUGUCGAGGACGUGGUUGGUGAUUGGCCGAGAUCCUCGGGUUUAAUAAUUGGCCUACUGGCUGCACAGCCAGUGCAUAUACUACUGUAAUACGUUAGUAUGCGUAUAGAGAGUGUUGAGCAGCUGAGUAGUGCAUGAACGUAAUGUAUCCUCUCUCGUAUGAGAGCACGUUUGCACCCGACCUAUCUCAAGCUUCGUCAUCGAGAACUUGAGGUUACGCUAGGUUGAAUAAGAAAAAGAAACAAAAUCAACAUCAUCGAAUGAUCUUCCUUCCGCUUAAAAAGAGAGAGAACAAAAAUGACAAGAAGAAGAAGAAGAAGAAGAAGAAGAAGAAUCUUCACGUAGCAGAGUUUUCUAAAGAACGAUCAAGAUGACGAGGAGGAACGAGAGAUGAUGCAAAAAGGGGGGUUGGAUAGGCACAUAAUCUAAAGGUAACGAUAAUGAUCGGUCAUUUGAAUAGAACAAGGAAAUGGAAAUAGGCAAAUAGAGGAAGAGGACAACACUCGUUGAAUAUUCUCGUUCGAUGUUAUUUCGAAAGUCCAUACACUUUCUCUCCUCGGGCUAGCGAGUUUGAAAUACUCCGAGAACAUUUCCUUCCUCGAUCGGAGUUCCCGGCACAUCCGUUACCAACUUCCGUAUUAUAAGAAUUGUAGUUUUUUUUUGUAAAAUUUGAAAAGUAUAUAAUUUUGGAUGUAAGCAACGAUCGAGAAAUUUGGGGAUUGUCGUAGGUCGGGGUUCGUCGUCAGGAGGACCGGUAGUUCCGGUCGAGACACGUGGUCAACCUCGAGAUCGCAUGGAAGAUUCAAUUUUCGCGCGAGUCCUUUUUAUCAAAGUACGAUUGCAAACGUCAUCAUCGUCAUCAUCGUCAUCAUCGUCAUCAUUGUCAUCGUCGUCGUCGUCGUCGUCGUCGUCAAAGUUGUCAUCAUGUCAUCACAUACACAAUCACCACUGUUACACCGAUAAUAACUGUUAUUAUCAAAGAUCACAACUUUGAUGGUAAAAUGUUAUAGACACACACAAAAUAAUAUUAUUAAUUUAAUAACAACAACAACAACAACAUUUAUUGGCGUUUGCAAGAAGGGGGAGAGAAAAUGAAUUUUGUAAUUUUAAUAUGUGUGUGAAUAUAAUGCGUAAAUUUAUGCGUAGGCGUAAAAGCGCGCGCGCGCUUUUUUUUUUUUUGAUAAUCUUUAUAAAUGUGUUUACAUGUUAAUAGAGAGUUGUUUUUGUUCUUUGAACGAAUGUGUUUAGUAAGAGCAUUUAUCUAUCUAUCUAUCUAUUUAUCUAUCUAUCUAUCUGUCUGUCUGUCUGUCUGUCUGUCUGUCUUUAUUUGUAGUGUUGAGGUUGCGCGCGCGUUGCCUCGUCGUCCCGCGAGGUGUAAACCGAGUGUCGAGCUGAGUUGGCUUCGACAAAGUAGGGCGACGACUGGGACAGCGGCCACGGGCACCAGCGCUCACCGACGAGGAACCCGUGCGCCGUGCGGUGGAGGAACUGUGGAAGUGGAAGAGAGAACCCUCCGAGUUAAACGGCGGCGUUGCUGUAUACUCUACGUUCUCCAGUAGGGGAACCUCCAACUCUGCUGCAACAUCAUCGUCGUCGUCGUCGUCGUCGUCGUCGUCGUCGUCGGAACUAGCUUGCAAACCUAGCUUACAACCUAGUCAACCUAGCCAGAUCGCCAGUUGAACGUUGCAUCUUCAACUUUCCUUCUAUCUUUUUAUUUUUCUUUUUUUUUUGUUUUGUUAUUUUUCUCUCUUUGGACAACCAACACCUAGGUUGAAAUCUUGGAAAUACAUCUUAUCAGGUCCAAAAUGAAAUUCGUUGUUGAUAGAAAAUAUUGAUUACAUUUAAUGCUUGCUGAGAGAGUUAAAAAAGAGAAAGCCAGGAGGAGUUGGACUCAGGAGGAGACUUGAGAGAGUUCUUCUCUCAGUCAACCUAUACGCGUUCUUGUUCCUCUUUUACGGUCUAGGCCACGAUGUUCGAUAACCGAAAAACUUUCACCUUCCGAGGAACGUUAGGUAUAUCGAUGGAGUCCGUGACCAAAGAUCAGCAAUACUAUUCGUAUGUAAAGCCUUUAUAACUCCUUUGCCUUCUCUUGAUCUUGAUCUUUCGAUUUGUUUCGUUACGUAAAAUGGAAAAGAGAAAUAUCACGGUGUGAUUAUUGGAUACUACUUAAGAUAGAAGAUAUUAUUUAUUUAUGAUUUAAAAUNGUAGUUGGUAAGCUUAGAAAAUUGCGCGUGCUGAUGUGCGCAGGACGCGAAGGCCGAAUGCUGCGACCCCCGGAGGAGAGGAGGACUCUUUAGAAUCUACUACGUCACACAGAUCCUCUCCGCGAGUCGUCGCCCUGACCUCAAAAGAGAUGACUGACCCGCAAGCUCGCUGCUUUUCUAUUUGAUAAGAUAAUAAACUGGGAUUGGACGGAUGAAUCU
rnacentral:lncRNA from 1 species